UGCUGGAGGUAUCAGAAGUGCGAAUGCUGACAUAAGUAACGAUAAAGCGGGUGAAAAGCCCGCUCGCCGGAAGACCAAGGGUUCCUGUCCAACGUUAAUCGGGGCAGGGUGAGUCGACCCCUAAGGCGAGGCCGAAAGGCGUAGUCGAUGGGAAACGGGUUAAUAUUCCCGUACUUGGUGUUACUGCGAAGGGGGGACGGAGAAGGCUAUGUUGGCCGGGCGACGGUUGUCCCGGUUUAAGCGUGUAGGUGUGUGUUCCAGGUAAAUCCGGUUCACUUUAACACUGAGGCGUGACGACGAGGCACUACGGUGCUGAAGCAACAAAUGCCCUGCUUCCAGGAAAAGCCUCUAAGCAUCAGGUAACAUCAAAUCGUACCCCAAACCGACACAGGUGGUCAGGUAGAGAAUACCAAGGCGCUUGAGAGAACUCGGGUGAAGGAACUAGGCAAAAUGGUGCCGUAACUUCGGGAGAAGGCACGCUGACACGUAGGUGAAGUGAUUUACUCAUGGAGCUGAAGUCAGUCGAAGAUACCAGCUGGCUGCAACUGUUUAUUAAAAACACAGCACUGUGCAAACACGAAAGUGGACGUAUACGGUGUGACGCCUGCCCGGUGCCGGAAGGUUAAUUGAUGGGGUCAGCGCAAGCGAAGCUCCUGAUCGAAGCCCCGGUAAACGGCGGCCGUAACUAUAACGGUCCUAAGGUAGCGAAAUUCCUUGUCGGGUAAGUUCCGACCUGCACGAAUGGCGUAAUGAUGGCCAGGCUGUCUCCACCCGAGACUCAGUGAAAUUGAACUCGCUGUGAAGAUGCAGUGUACCCGCGGCAAGACGGAAAGACCCCGUGAACCUUUACUAUAGCUUGACACUGAACAUUGAGCCUUGAUGUGUAGGAUAGGUGGGAGGCUUUGAAGCGUGGACGCCAGUCUGCGUGGAGCCGACCUUGAAAUACCACCCUUUAAUGUUUGAUGUUCUAACGUGGACCCGUGAUCCGGGUUGCGGACAGUGUCUGGUGGGUAGUUUGACUGGGGCGGUCUCCUCCUAAAGAGUAACGGAGGAGCACGAAGGUUGGCUAAUCCUGGUCGGACAUCAGGAGGUUAGUGCAAUGGCAUAAGCCAGCUUGACUGCGAGCGUGACGGCGCGAGCAGGUGCGAAAGCAGGUCAUAGUGAUCCGGUGGUUCUGAAUGGAAGGGCCAUCGCUCAACGGAUAAAAGGUACUCCGGGGAUAACAGGCUGAUACCGCCCAAGAGUUCAUAUCGACGGCGGUGUUUGGCACCUCGAUGUCGGCUCAUCACAUCCUGGGGCUGAAGUAGGUCCCAAGGGUAUGGCUGUUCGCCAUUUAAAGUGGUACGCGAGCUGGGUUUAGAACGUCGUGAGACAGUUCGGUCCCUAUCUGCCGUGGGCGCUGGAGAACUGAGGGGGGCUGCUCCUAGUACGAGAGGACCGGAGUGGACGCAUCACUGGUGUUCGGGUUGUCAUGCCAAUGGCACUGCCCGGUAGCUAAAUGCGGAAGAGAUAAGUGCUGAAAGCAUCUAAGCACGAAACUUGCCCCGAGAUGAGUUCUCCCUGAGACUUAAAGUCUCCUGAAGGAACGUUGAAGACGACGACGUUGAUAGGCCGGGUGUGUAAGCGCAGCGAUGCGUUGAGCUAACCGGUACUAAUGAACCGUGAGGCUUAACCUU
rnacentral:rRNA from 1 species